ACUCAAAUGAAUUGACGGGGGCCCGCACAAGCGGUGGAUCAUGUGGUUUAAUUCGAAGCAACGCGAAGAACCUUACCUGGGUUUGACAUCCCUCGACAGCCGUAGAAAUACGGUUUCUGUAGCAAUACAGCGGGGUGACAGGUGCUGCAUGGCUGUCGUCAGCUCGUGUGGUGACAUGUUGGGUUAAGUCCCGCAACGAGCGCAACCCUUGUCUUUAGUUGCCAGCAUUAAGUUGGGCUCUCUAAAGAGACUGCCGUGGUUAACACGGAGGAAGGUGGGGAUGACGUCAAGUCCUCAUGGCCUUUAUAUCCAGGGCGACACACGUGAUACAAUGGUCGGUACAGAGGGAAGCAAAGGAGCGAUCUGGAGCUAAUCUCAAAAAGCCGAUCUCAGUUCGGAUUGGAGUCUGCAACUCGACUCCAUGAAGUUGGAAUCGCUAGUAAUCGCGGAUCAGCACGCCGCGGUGAAUACGUUCCCGGGCCUUGCACACACCGCCCGU
rnacentral:rRNA from 1 species